rnacentral:rRNA from 1 species
GCAGCUAGGGAGUGGGAGAGGUACUCGUACAUCGAUAGGAAGGGGUAUCAUCCUAUGAUCUAUUGAAGACCACCUGUGGCGCAGGCGGUGUACCAGCACACGUUCGACGGUGAGGGAUGAAAGCUGGGGGAGCAAACCGGAUUAGAUACCCGGGUAGUCCCAGCUGUAAACGAUGCAGACUCGGUGAUGCAUUGGCUUGUGGCCAAUGCAGUGCCGCAGGGAAGCCGUUAAGUCUGCCGCCUGGGAAGUACGUACGCAAGUAUGAACUUAAAGGAUUGGCGGGGGAGCACCACAGGGGUGAAGCCUGCGGUUCAUUG